rnacentral:rRNA from 1 species
GCUUAAUACAUGCAAGUCAACUUGACUUUAGAUAGCAAUAGUCGAAAAGUAGGGUGGCGCACGGGUGCGUAACGCGUAGGUAAUCUGCCCUGAGGUCUGACAUAACCCGUCGAAAGGCGGGCUAACAUCAGAUGAUAUAUAAUCACGACAUCGUGGAAAUAUCAAAUCUUCGGAGCCUUGGGAUGAGCCUGCGUCUGAUUAGGUAGUUGGCGGAGUAAUAGCCCACCAAGCCUACGAUCAGUAGCUGGUCUGAGAGGAUGAUCAGCCACACUGGAACUGAGACACGGUCCAGACUCCUACGGGAGGCAGCAGUAAGGAAUAUUGCUCAAUGGGGGAAACCCUGAAGCAGCAACGCCGCGUGAAGGAUGAAAUACUUUUGUAUGUAAACUUCUGUAAGAUGGGAAAAAUAUUCUCCUCGGGAGAAUUGAUUGUACCAUCAGAGUAAGCCCCGGCUAACUACGUG